UAGUUGGAGGUAUGCGUGGU
rnacentral:misc_RNA from 1 species